GUGGAAUCUUGUGACUUUGUAAAG
rnacentral:miRNA from 1 species